ACCACAUGGCUUGGGUUUGCAUUCCAGCUCUAACAGAACUAGCUGUCUGACUCUGGGAAGGUUACUUGACCUCUCUAGACUUCGGUUUCCCCACCUCUCCAAGGACCACAGAUUCUCCAGAAACAUUUAUACUGUCAUCUAUGGAAAACAAUGGGUAAAUGCAGAUGAAUGGACUUAUUUGAUACUAUAAGUAUCAAGAGAUCAGCAAUCAACUAUCAACUGAUAAAAAGAACUACUUUUUAUUCACCUGUGUUUAUGCAGCCUGGCACAUGGCAGACCCUCCAAAAUCUGUAUUGUAAUAAAUGUGUCAUAAGGCAUCACUGUAUCCCCACCACUUAUAAAAGUGCACCCUUGGCUCAAUACAGUCAGCUCUUGCUGCACAGCCAUAGAAAUGACCAUGCAACCUGAAACCAAGCAAAGCAAUCUUAAUAAUCAAUAGGAAAAUUAUGAUUUUUCUAUGUCUUCUAACAUUGUCAAGGCAUUAAAAACUAUCAGUUACAUAUGUACAAGAAAAUGGGAAAAAUUAUUUAUUAUACUGUAAUUUUAAAUAUUUGA